UACGUAGGGGGCGAGCGUUGUCCGGAUUUAUUGGGCGUAAAACGCUUGUAGGUGGCUACGUCAAGUCGGACGUGAAAUCUCCCGGCUUAACUGGGAGGGGUCGCUCGAUACUGGCGAGCUCGAGGCAGGUAGGGGGAAGCGGAAUUCCCGGUGUAGUGGUGGAAUGCGUAGAUAUCGGGAGGAACACCAGUGGCGAAGGCGGCUUCCUGGACCUGUUCUGACACUGAGGAGCGAAAGCGUGGGGAGCAAACGGG
rnacentral:rRNA from 1 species